CCUGAGCCCUGCAGGCAGCGGCUGGGGAGCCUCCCUCAGGUGUCACAGACCACUGACUCACCCCUACUCACUUUCCUGAAAGCCUCCUGAGACACACAAGGACUGAGGGAUGAGGGAGGGGAGAGGUAUGGAGGGGGGCUGCCCGGAGCAGCAGGGGUGAGGGGUGCCGAGGAGCAGGAGAAGACACUGAAAGGCAGAAGCAAGUUGGAUGCACCUGCCAGCCUCCUGGACGGGGUGACAGGGGGCAGGUGGUGACAUAGACAUGGGGGACAGAACCCGGAACCCUCACCAGGGGGACCUGAGCCCCGGGAGUCCCCUCCCCUCAGGCAGGAAC